UGCCUACGGGGGGCAGCAGUCGGGAAUAUUGCACAAUGGAGGAAACUCUGAUGCAGUGACGCCGCGUGCAGGAAGAAGGUUUUCGGAUUGUAAACUGCUUUAGACAGGGAAGAAACAAGACAGUACCUGUAGAAUAAGCUCCGGCUAACUACGUGCCAGCAGCCGCGGUAAUACGUAGGGAGCAAGCGUUAUCCGGAUUUAUUGGGUGUAAAGGGUGCGUAGACGGGUAUAUAAGUUAGUUGUGAAAUCCCUCGGCUUAACUGAGGAACUGCAACCAAAACUAUAUUUCUUGAGUAUCGGAGAGG
rnacentral:rRNA from 1 species